rnacentral:misc_RNA from 1 species
UCACCCCUCAAGUCUGACUUGGUGUUGGUGGAUUGUUAGCGAGAGACAGUUCUGUCUCUGUGCUCCACUGAAAGAUAAUGACCGGGUUGUAGAUUCCAACACUAGGUACAGUGAGCUGAUUGAUUUUGGCACGUACUUGAGUAGUGGUCACGGACCCGUCCCGGGACAAUGACUUUUGGUCGUUUCCCACCCCAACUUUUUGAA